rnacentral:rRNA from 1 species
UAGGGAAUCUUCGGCAAUGGGGGGAACCCUGACCGAGCAACGCCGCGUGAGUGAAGAAGGUUUUCGGAUCGUAAAGCUCUGUUGUUAAGGAAGAACGAGUGUGAGAAUGGAAAGUUCAUACUGUGACGGUAUCUAACCAGAAAGCCACGGCUAACUACGUGCCAGCAGCCGCGGUAAUACGUAGGUGGCAAGCGUUGUCCGGAUUUAUUGGGCGUAAAGCGAGCGCAGGCGGUCAAUUAAGUCUGAUGUGAAAGCCCCCGGCUCAACCGGGGAGGGUCAUUGGAAACUGGUUGACUUGAGUGCAGAAGAGGGGAGUGGAAUUCCAUGUGUAGCGGUGAAAUGCGUAGAUAUAUGGAGGAACACCAGUGGCGAAGGCGACUCUCUGGUCUGUAACUGACGCUGAGGCUCGAAAGCGUGGGUAGCAAACAGG